rnacentral:snRNA from 1 species
GCGUCGCAAUUUGCGUGGGA